UGGGGGAUAUUGCACAAUGGGCGAAAGCCUGAUGCAGCGACGCCGCGUGGGGGAUGAAGGCUUUCGGGUUGUAAACCUCUUUCGCUAUCGAACAAGGCCCGCUUAGGGUGGGUUGAGGGUAGGUGGAGAAGAAGCGCCGGCUAACUACGUGCCAGCAGCCGCGGUAAUACGUAGGGCGCGAGCGUUGUCCGGAAUUAUUGGGCGUAAAGGGCUUGUAGGCGGCUUGUUGCGCCUGCUGUGAAAACGCGGGGCUUAACUUCGCGCGUGCAGUGGGUACGGGCAGGCUUGAGUGUGGUAGGGGUGACUGGAAUUCCAGGUGUAGCGGUGGAAUGCGCAGAUAUCUGGAGGAACACCGAUGGCGAAGGGAGGUCACUGGGCCAUUACUGACGCUGAGGAGCGAAAGCAUGGGUAGCGAACAGG
rnacentral:rRNA from 1 species